GGAAAAAAGUGGAAAGCAAUGAAAUUGAAACCAGUAAAUCAAUAGAGGAAAAUUGAUAAAACCAAAGUCUGGUUCUUUGAAAUAAUCAAUAAAAUUGGUAAACCUGUAGCCAGAUUAAGAAAGAAGAGACAAAUUACCAAUUUUAGCAUGCCAGCAAUGAGGAAUGGUCACUUGAAAUUUAAAAACACAGUACCACUUACAUUAGCACACACACACACACACACACACACACAAAAUGGAAGACGUAGGUAUAAGCCUAGUAAAAUAUACACAAGACCUAUGAGGAAAGCCAUAAAACUGUGAUGGAAAAAAAUUCUAAUAAAUAAAGAGAGAUCAUGUUCGUGGACAGGAAGACUCAAUAUUCUAAAAAUGUCAGUUCUUCCAAUUUGAUGUAUAGAUUCAAUGUAAUCUCAAUUAAAAGUCCCAACAAGUUAUUUUAUGGAUAUUAACAAGGUAAUGCUAAAUUUUACAGGGAAAGAGAAGAGUAUGACCAAUGCAGUACUGAAGAGUAAUAAAGUAAAGACACUGAUACUACUGACCUCAAGACUUACUAGAAAGCUAUAGUAACCAAGAUGGUAUGACGUUGGCAUAAAAACAGAAAAGGGACCAAGGAUAUAACACUUGCUUAGUAUGUAUAUUGCCCCAAAUUUGAUCUCUCACACUGCAAAACAGAAGAACAAAAACCAAAACCAAAACAAACAAACAAAAAAAAAACCUAGACCAAUUGAUCAAUGGAACAGACAGAAAGCCCAGAAAUGGAUUCACACAAAUAUAAUCAACUAAUUUUUGAAAAAGGAAUAAGUGAAAUUCAAUGAAGAAGUUUGUUUCAAUAAAUGUGUCUGGCACAAAUGUUUAUACGCAUGCAAAAAAGGAGGAGGAGGCAGAGGAGAGGAAGAGUCCAGACAUAGACCUUACACUUUUUGUAAAAAUUAAAGCUGGGGCUGGAAUUGUAGCUCAUUGGUAGUGUGCCUGUCUACUAUGGUACGACGUUGGCAUAAAAACAGAAAAGGGACCAAGGAUAUAACACUUGCUUAGUAUGUAUAUUGCCCCAAAUUUGAUCUCUCACACUGCAAAACAGAAGAACAAAAACCAAAACCAAAACAAACAAACAAAAAAAAAACCUAGACCAAUUGAUCAAUGGAACAGACAGAAAGCCCAGAAAUGGAUUCACACAAAUAUAAUCAACUAAUUUUUGAAAAAGGAAUAAGUGAAAUUCAAUGAAGAAGUUUGUUUCAAUAAAUGUGUCUGGCACAAAUGUUUAUACGCAUGCAAAAAAGGAGGAGGAGGCAGAGGAGAGGAAGAGUCCAGACAUAGACCUUACACUUUUUGUAAAAAUUAAAGCUGGGGCUGGAAUUGUAGCUCAUUGGUAGUGUGCCUGUCUACUAUGGUACUGGGUUCAAUCAUUAACACCACAUAAAAUAAAUAAAUAAAAUAAAGGAUUAAAAAACAUUAUUUUAGAAAAAUAAAGUCACAGACUGAAAGAAAGUCUUUAGUGAACACAUUUCCAUAAAGAGCUGCCAUCUACAAUAUACAGCGAACCCUUAAAAUUUAGAAAACAGUCAAAUCUUAAAACAGGCAAAAGGAUGAACAGAUAUCUCACCAAACAAGAUAUAGAGCUGGAAAACAGGCAUAUACAAAGAUGUUCAACCUCAUAUGUUAUUUAAGAAUUGCAAAUAAGGCAGGCAUAGUGGCACAUGCCUGUAAUCCCAGAUAUCUGGAAGGCAAAGGCAGGAGGAGCAGAAGUUUGAAGGCAGCCCCAGCAACUUCUGAUUUGAAGCCUUGUCUCAAAAUACAAAAAGAACUGGGGAUGUAGCUCCACGUAGAGUGACACAGGGUUUAAUCUCAAGUACCACAAAAACAAAAGCAAAUAAAAAACAUCAGCAAUGAGAUACCACUGCACAGUUACUAGAAUAGCUAAAAUCCAAAACAUUAACAAUUAAAUGCUGGUGAGGAUGUAGAGCAACUGGAACUCUCAGUGCUGAUGGGAAUAAAAAAUGUACAGCAACUGUAGAAGACAGCUUGGCAAUUUGUUACAAAACAAAGCUGACUUAUCUUACACUCUAACUAUUAUUCUCCUUGGUAUUUACCCAAAUGAAUUGAAAACUUACAGCCACUAAAUUCUGUACAUGAAUGUUUAUAGCCACUUUAUUUAUAAUUGCCAAAACUUGGAAGCAACCAUGAUAACCUUCAAUAUAUGGAAGGAUGAGCAAAUAGUGGCACAUCCAUACAAUGAACUAUUAUUCAGUAAUUUAAAAAAAUGAUGGGGCUGGGGUUAUGGCUCAGUGGUAGAGUGCUAGCCUCGCACGUGCAAGGCCCUGGGUUCGAUCCUCAGCACCACAUAUAAAUAAAAUAAAGUUAUUGUGUCCAACUACUGCUAAGUGAAAGAAGCUGUCUUAAAAAAACUAUAAGCUGUAUAAUUCCAACUAUAUGACCUCUGAUCUGAUCAAAACUAUGGAAAUGGGAAAAAAGAUCAGUGGUUUCCAGGAUUGGGAGGAGAAAAGGCUGAAUAGGUGAAGCCCAGAGACUUAGGGCAGUGAAAGUAUUCUUAUGAUACAGUGAUGGUGAAUAUAUGAAGUCUAACAUAACAAAUGGACUAUAGUUAAUGUAUCAAUAUUAGUUUAUCAGUUAUAACAAAUGACCCACGUGUAUUAUUAUUACAAGAUAUUAAUAAUAGGGGAAACUGUUUCAAGCAGCUAUAUGGAACUCUCUUUUCAUUCCACUCAAUUUUUCUAUAAUCCUAAAGCUGUUCUAAAAACUGACACUAAUUUUAAUGAAAAAAUAACUUUGAACUAAAAGAUUAUUUAGUAUGAACACCCUAAAAUUCAUUGUGUGCAUCAGAAAAUCAAGAUUGUUGUGAAGAUUGGCUAAGAGUUCCAUUGACCCUAAUGAAAGAGAUAACUUGGGAUUAUUUUAAUACAAAAUCAAACUUACCUUGCCAUCAUUAAAUCAGUGGUGGAAAUCUGAUAUGACAGCUAGUUGCAGCUUUUAAGUGCAACAGGAAUCAAGUAUAUGGACCAAUCUUCAUAUGCUUUAAUGAAACAACAAAAAAUACCCAAAUUACUUUGCUAUGAAAGGCAGAUGAAAUAUAAAUUUAGCAUUUUCUUUGGCAUCCUUUGACUUACAUGGUUCAUGGCUUAAAAAUUAUUGAGAUAAAUUAUGUACUCUUCUCAGGAAAAUGUUUUUAAUUGUUGAGUGAUGUUUUUUUUAGCUAAGUAAUUAGAAAUGUAAAGUAUAUAAUACAAGAAGUACGGAUUCCAGAACUCUUAGUGAACUUUCUGUAGCCAUUUGUCUUUUAAAUAUAUGGAUCUAUAAUCAAGGGUGAAAGUUAUUUCAUAUCUCUCUCUCUCUCUCUCUCUCUCUCUCUCACACACACACACACACACACACACACACACAAUUAUUUAUCCAGCAAAACCAAGGAAGAAAUAUGUUGAAUAUUCUUAUGGAUUAAUUGGAACACUGAACUUCCUCCCCUCCCCUCCCCCUUCUAAUAAAUCUCAUUUUAAAUAGCAUUCCCUCCUCCUGGGUCAAGGACAGAAGAACUGGUUUCAUUAUUUGGCUCAUUAAUUAGGUAAAUAUACUCAAAGAUAAUACACCUCUACUCUGUCUACUUAGAGAACUCAACUAUGUUCACUAGCCAAUACCCCAAACUGUAUUUGAAACCUUUUAAGUUAAGAGGGUUUCAAAUACAGUUUGGGGUAUUGGCUAUAUAUCCCCCUGGCUUCAAUCACAAAUUUAAAGAACCUGCUGAAAUUCAC
rnacentral:lncRNA from 1 species